UACGUAGGGUGCAAGCGUUAAUCGGAAUUACUGGGCGUAAAGCGUGCGCAGGCGGUUAUGUAAGACAGGUGUGAAAUCCCAGGGCUUAACCUUGGAACUGCAUUUGUGACUGCAUAGCUAGAGUACGGUAGAGGGGGAUGGAAUUCCGCGUGUAGCAGUGAAGUGCGUAGAUAUGCGGAGGAACACCGAUGGCGAAGGCAAUCCCCUGGACCUGUACUGACGCUCAUGCACGAAAGCGUGGGGAGCAACAGG
rnacentral:rRNA from 1 species